AAUCACAUUACCGGCUCUGCACUAAGUUGCACCUAAAUUUAGUUUCCACAAAGAAGCAGAUAAUCUUCAAUGUUAGUAUUCACCCCAAUUAUAAACAAGUACAACGAAUAAAAUGUUGAAUAAUAACAAAGUACUAGAAAGAUGAACAGAAAAUAGAUACUGUGAAGUGCCAAGCAAUGAUGGCUGCCAAUGAAAAUAGCAUAGUUAAUUAAAAUAACUAAUUGCGUGAACUUCUGAAACUGGUUGGUUAGAUACACCAUAUUCAUAGCAGCAACAAACAGCAGGAGUUUCCAAACAUAUUAACUGUCCUUGAAAAACGUUAACAAAAUGAGCAAUUACAAUAGAAAACUGUCAAAAGAAUAAAGAACUGCGACAAAAGCAAGAGUUUGAAAUUCAAGUAAGAUAUUAUGACAAGUACAUUGACAAUUAAAAUCUUCAAAAUUUCCAAAACUGUAAUGUCUGGUACAUAGGCAGUCAAAAACUAAUUCUAUAUUUGCAAAUGUAAAUCCUAGUUAUCACCAGUAAAAAUAAAUCACUAACAACCAAUAACAGAUGAAGUCAUCCAGCAAAUGAACUAGCACUAUGCCAGAAAAUGCACAUAUGUAUGACAUGACUUAAACUCCCGAGCCACAAAAAAAGGAGCAGAAAAUGAAUUAGGAAACAAAAUAUAACAACAAAAUACGAUUUUGCACACCGAUAAGCUUAAUUCCAAAUUACACCUAAUGAAAAGAAAAGAAAACACUAUCCCCUGAACCACAAAAUAUAAGAAAAAUCCACAAAAUAAAAAAGCUUUCAUUGAUUACUAACCCAAAAAAAAUAGUAAAGAAAAAAACCCUAGAAACUAAAAGCAAGAUGUGCAAACAAAUGAUACCUGCUGUGACACUCAAUACAAAAGGGGCUCGAAACGCCAAAAGACUCAGAAUAUACAUCAAUUCGCAAAAACACUGCAAUUUAAGCCGGGAAAAAAAUAAAAUAAUUUGGAUGAUUAGGAGAGUGGAGAAGAAGAAGAUAAAGAGUUUGGGAUUAUCCGGCUUUGGUUAGGAAGAGAGAAAGUCGCGCACACAAACAUUGAUAUGAACAAAGAGUGGAUAGGAAAAAAUCAGAAGGGUGAGGUUUUUUGGAACCGUUACGGUUUAACUCUGCC
rnacentral:lncRNA from 1 species